rnacentral:tRNA from 1 species
UGGGCUACAGCUCAGUGUAGAGCGUGUGCUUAGCAUGCACGAGGUCCUGAGUUCAAUUCUCAUUACCUCCA